rnacentral:rRNA from 1 species
GACGAACGCUGGCGGCGUGCUUAACACAUGCAAGUCGAACGAUCACGCCCGAGCUUGCCCGGUCUGACUAGUGCCGCACGCGUGAGUGACACAUGAGCAUACUCCCCUUCACUCUCUGAUAACCCCUCGGAAUCGCGGCUAAUACCCCGUAUGAGCUCCUGACCCAUGGCGUGUGAUGGUAAAUUUGUCGGUGACGGAUGGGCUGGCAGCCUACCUGUCUGUUUGUGAGGUAGUGGGUCACCAAGGCGAUGCCGGGUAGCCGGACUGAGAGGGCGACCGGCCACACUGGGACUGAGGGACGGCCCAGACUCCUACGGGAGGCAGCAGUGGGGAAGAUUGCACAAGGGGCGAAAGCCGGAUGCAGCGACGCCGCGUGAGGGAUGACGGCCUUAGGGGUGUAAACCUCUUUCGGCAGGGAAGAAGCGCGAGUGACGGUACCUGAAGAAGAAGCGCCGGCUAACUACGUG